CCUACGGGGGGCAGCAGUGAGGAAUAUUGGUCAAUGGACGAGAGUCUGAACCAGCCAAGUAGCGUGAAGGAUGACUGCCCUAUGGGUUGUAAACUUCUUUUAUAUGGGAAUAAAAUGUUCCACGUGUGGGAUUUUGUAUGUACCAUAUGAAUAAGGACCGGCUAACCCCGUGCCAGCAGCCGCGGUAAUACGGAGGGUCCGAGCGUUAUCCGGAUUUAUUGGGUUUAAAGGGAGCGUAGGUGGAUUGUUAAGUCAGUUGUGAAAGUUUGCGGCUCAACCGUAAAAUUGCAGUUGAAACUUGCAGUCUUGAGUACAGUAGAGGUGGGCAGAAUUCGUGGUGUAGCGGUGAAAUGCUUAGAUAUCACGAAGAACUCCGAUAGCGAAGGCAGUUCACUGGACUGCAACUGACACUGAGGCUCGAAAGUGUGGGUAUCAAACAGGAUUAGAUACCCGAGUAGUC
rnacentral:rRNA from 1 species